rnacentral:lncRNA from 1 species
CAAUUGAUUGAUUGUUGGUUGCUUUACGUCCAGUGGCAAAUAUUACAAAGUAACCAAACCACUACAUAUAUAGUAACAAAUUCCACUAUACAAAGUAACAAAACCACUACAUAGUAACAAAUUCCACUAUACAAAGUAACAAAACCACUACAUAGUAACAAAUUCCACUAUACAAAGUAACAAAACCACUACAUAGUAACAAAUUCCACUAUACAAAGACACAAAACCAC